GUAGGUGAACCUGCGGAGGGAUCAUUACCGAGUGAAGGGCCUCUGGCCCGGACUCCCAACCCCAUGUGACCCGACACUGUUGCCUCGGGGGCGACCCGGCUCUCUGAGUCGGGGCCCCCGGUGGACCGUUCAACGCUGCAUCUGUGCGUCCGAGUCAAACGAUAAAUCAAUCAAAACUUUCAACAACGGAUCUCUUGGUUCUG
rnacentral:misc_RNA from 1 species